UUUUAAGCCUGAUUGCAGCGAGGACUUAUAGCGGAAAGCAGGGCUAUCG
rnacentral:sRNA from 1 species